ACUUCCCAUCAGCCCUUGAGGCUGCAGGGACCAGCCCUUUGGUAGGUGCGCUUUGCUUCCUAACCCGUUGCCGGGUUGGAGAUUCCACCUCCGAAGUUUUCUUUCUGACUUUUGAUUUUACAUUCCUAGUACAGUGGAGAAGCCCAGGCGGCCUAGAAUCCAGUGUCGUCCGUGAGUGCUUGGCUGGUGUUCAAGUGCAUCUUCCAGCCUGAGACCGCGUGGACUCGCUCAUCGUGAGGGCGAGAGGAGGAUAAGCCCAUUGGGCUGUCGGCUGAGAGUGAGGUGCGGGAUUGCUGAUGAAAUCCUUGGCAUCGUCGGAGAUCUCAUCGAAUGCCUCGUCGUCGAAGUCCCAGGUGGCUGAGGUAACGUUGGCCAAGGUUUCGUUAUCGUUGUCUCCCAUGAAGGGGGAAAGGCCACUGACUCUGGAGAGACAAGAGCAGGACAGCAGGUGUGGCUAGGAGAGGGCGCGACGACCAGAUGAGGGAAUUGAGGCACAGCCCAGGCUCAAGUCACCUGCCCAAAGAUUCACAGCCAGUGAGAUUGGAAGCCAGGUAUCUGCCUCUAGAGCCUGUCCUCUUAAAUGCUAUACUAUCCUAACAUUUCUGUAAAGAUGAAGUAAAUUGCAGUGUUCAGCACUGGCACCAGGCCUGGUCCACAGUAAGGAGGCGGUCCAUGCCCGGAGAUCUCAUGCAGUUCUGCUGGGUUCCCUCCACUGCCUUACCAAGCUGUGAGUGCAGGAAUGACUUUGUGACCAGCAGCUUAAGCCAAAUAAACUUUAUAAGGUAAAGAAUUUCAAAACAAAAAAAAAAAAAAA
rnacentral:lncRNA from 1 species